rnacentral:tRNA from 1 species
UAGGCAGAAGCCGGUAGGUUUAGGCAUUUAGCUGUUAACUAAAAUUUUACGGGAUCGAAGCCCGUCUGUCUAG